UACGGGGGGAGCAAGCGUUGUUCGGAUUUACUGGGCGUAAAGGGCUCGUAGGUGGCCAACUAAGUCAGACGUGAAAUCCCUCGGCUUAACCGGGGAACUGCGUCUGAUACUGGAUGGCUUGAGUUUGGGAGAGGGAUGCGGAAUUCCAGGUGUAGCGGUGAAAUGCGUAGAUAUCAGGGGGAACACCGGUGGCGAAGGCGGUGCUCUGGGCCGGAACUGACGCUGAGGAGCGAAAGCGUGGGGAGCGAACAGG
rnacentral:rRNA from 1 species